UACAGUGGAGCCAAGCGUUGUCCGGAUUGACUGGGCGUAAAGCGCACGCAGGCGGUCGCGCGCGUGGGGCGUGAAAUCUGGCCGCUUAACGGCCAGGCGCCAUCCCAUACGGCACGACUGGAGGGCUGCAGAGGUCGAUGGAAUUGCCGGUGUAGUGGUGAAAUGCGUAGAUAUCGGAAGGAACAUCAGUGGCGAAAGCGGCUGUCUGGCCCAAUACUGACGCUCAUGUGCGAAAGCGUGGGGAGCAAACAGG
rnacentral:rRNA from 1 species